rnacentral:rRNA from 1 species
CGCUGAAGCACCAGCUUGCUGGUGUGGAUGAGUGGCGAACGGGUGAGUAAUACGUGAGUAACCUGCCCUUGACUCUGGGAUAAGCCCGGGAAACUGGGUCUAAUACUGGAUGCUACAUGUCACCGCAUGGUGGUGUGUGGAAAGGGUUUACUGGUCUUGGAUGGGCUCACGGCCUAUCAGCUUGUUGGUGAGGUAAUGGCUCACCAAGGCGACGACGGGUAGCCGGCCUGAGAGGGUGACCGGCCACACUGGGACUGAGACACGGCCCAGACUCCUACGGGAGGCAGCAGUGGGGAAUAUUGCACAAUGGGCGAAAGCCUGAUGCAGCGACGCCGCGUGAGGGAUGACGGCCUUCGGGUUGUAAACCUCUUUCAGCAGGGAAGAAGCCACAAGUGACGGUACCUGCAGAAGAAGCGCCGGCUAACUACGUGCCAGCAGCCGCGGUAAUACGUAGGGCGCAAGCGUUGUCCGGAAUUAUUGGGCGUAAAGAGCUCGUAGGCGGUUUGUCGCGUCUGCUGUGAAAGCCCGGGGCUUAACCCCGGGUGUGCAGUGGGUACGGGCAGACUAGAGUGCAGUAGGGGAGACUGGAAUUCCUGGUGUAGCGGUGGAAUGCGCAGAUAUCAGGAGGAACACCGAUGGCGAAGGCAGGUCUCUGGGCUGUUACUGACGCUGAGGAGCGAAAGCAUGGGGAGCGAACAGGAUUAGAUACCCUGGUAGUCCAUGCCGUAAACGUUGGGCACUAGGUGUGGGGGACAUUCCACGUUUUCCGCGCCGUAGCUAACGCAUUAAGUGCCCCGCCUGGGGAGUACGGCCGCAAGGCUAAAACUCAAAGGAAUUGACGGGGGCCCGCACAAGCGGCGGAGCAUGCGGAUUAAUUCGAUGCAACGCGAAGAACCUUACCAAGGCUUGACAUAUACCGGAUCGUUCCAGAGAUGGUUCUUCCCCUUUGGGGUCGGUAUACAGGUGGUGCAU